CUUGCCUCUGGGAUAGAAGUGAGGCUGGGGUGGACAUUCUGGGCAAAGGGUUUUGAAUGGAGCAUAAUUGCCUUUUCACCUGCCUCAUAUAGAAACCCCUUAUAGGCAUUACUCAAGUGAAAAUGUGCAUAUGUACUUUGCUGACACCAAAUUUUCUGGCUUGUGGAUGAUUGUUUUACCUGAUGGUUUCAAAGGGCUUUGCUUUUUUUCUGUCUUUUACAUUUUCAUGUGAGCCACAUUGUCUCUGAAUCUCCUGAUGGAAUCCAUGUGUACACUCAGUUGUGGGGGACACUCGUUCAUUGUUAAUGAAUGGGUUGCAAAUUGGUCCAGCUACUGCUCUGAAAAGCAGAAUGGAGAACUCUCAAAAACUUAAAUAAAUCUGCCACGUGGCCCAGCUAUUUGCCCAAAGCACUCAACAGGUACUCAUUUAGCCAUACUCAUUGUUGUUCUAGCCACACUAGCUAGGAAGAGUAAACAGCCUAACUGUCCUAAAGCCUAUGAGUGCAUAGUGAAAAUUUGG
rnacentral:lncRNA from 1 species